UCAUUAAAUUUGACGGUAAUA
rnacentral:piRNA from 1 species